rnacentral:rRNA from 1 species
GACGUAGGAUGCAAGCGUUGUCCGGAUUUAUUGGGCGUAAAGAGUUCGUAGGUGGUUCGUUAAGUCUGAUGUUAAAGACCGGGGCUCAACUUCGGGACUGCAUUGGAUACUGGCGGACUUGAGUGUGGUAGAGGCAAUCGGAAUUCCAGGUGUAGCGGUGAAAUGCGUAGAUAUCUGGAAGAACACCGGUGGCGCAAGCGGAUUGCUGGGCCAUAACUGACACUGAGGAACGAAAGCUAGGGGAGCGAAUGGG